CAUACUUCCUGUAUCUACCGUCAACAUCAACAAAACAAGAUGUAGACAAAUAGUCAGAUGUUACUUCAAAGCUGAUUUCAUGAAGCACAGCUCGAUAAAACACCUAAUAAUCAAAGGGAGGAACCAGUGAGUGCUUCGGCAGAGAGCAAGACAUGCCCCAUUGUAUAUCGCUUGCCAGGUUUUCCAGGAGUUCUUCAAAACAAACUUGAAAGUAAAACUGAGGAUCUGAUCACUUACACUUGAAAGAUCACAUCAGGGUUUGGGAUGGUUGCAGACAAGAUCAUUGAGGAAAGCAGGAGAAAAACAACGGGCAAGCAUCUUCUUGAUUUACAUGAUGCAGCAUGGCAAAAGGAAAUGGACGAAACACAUAGAGGUCUUAAAAUAGCAGGUGCUGCAUUGCUUCUUCCAUAUCUGUUCAAAGAGGAGCCAAAUUUACUUUAUGUGAUUGACAAGGACCUUUCAUUACUAUCCAGGGAAACCCUUUCCAUUUUGAUACAGAAAUUGGUCUGAGAAUGGAUGGACAACAUCUACUUGCUGAGGAACCUGAGGACCUCACCCAGGGAUUCAGGCUUCUUUUUUUCCUUAUAUUUUGUGUACAAUAUGAAAUACCCACAGAGAGCAAAACAUAGCCUAAUAUUCAUUGAGAAAUGUAUUUUGGGUACUCAAAGAUCAGAAAGCCCCACCUACUUAGUGAGAAUAGUAAAGUUUAUUUUGUCAGAUACCAGGUCAGGUAAGAAAUAAGCCACAACAGGGUGUUGGCUAUGCUAUAAUAACCACAGGCCCAGGGAUUAGCCAACACAACCAGCACACUGGAGUGUCUUAUUGAGCUUGAAUAAAAUGGGUUACUAUCUUCUUUUUUUUUAGAAAUAAAGAUAUACUUUAAUAUAGAAAGCACCUAUUGAUAUAAAGAUCAUUUUAAAGAUCCUUUUUUUUUACACUGAGAAAAAUAGUCCUAAUAAAGCCCUUUGUGAAAGUGGUCCACUAUGAAAGGAGCUAUAUAAAAUAAAGAUUGAUUGAGAAUAAAUUAAACAAAUAAACAAUGAAUUGUUAUGAGUAAUUGGUUCAUUAAAAUGUUCUCUGGAAUACAGUUCACUAAAUUGAAUGGCUGGCCGCACAACAUGAAAUAUAUUUUCUAAGUAUUUUCUCUGCUUGUUUGAGGCGGUUGGCUUUUGAAAAAUGUCAAAAUUCUAAAAUGGAUGGAUGGCUCAAUAUGUGUGAUAAGCGUAAGUUGGCAGAAAAAUAAUAAGACUAUCUGAUUUAUUUAUUAUUAUUUUGUCUUUAAUACAUUUUUUAAUAUUUUUUAUAAUACUUGUGACUAAAGUUAGGUUUUUGUUUGUUUUAUUCACAAUGUAAUUAAACUACUUACAUUAUGGAUAAUUAAUAUAUUAUUAUUACUAUGAUUAAAGUUAUAAUUAAUAUAUUUAUAUAUCUACCUGUUAAGAAAUAUUGUCAGCCUUUCACUUAUUUGAAUUUUUAUUAUUCUAAGAGUAAUGAAAAAUAUACAGACUGUGCAAAUAUUUAUUAAUAUGUUUUCAUUAAUACAUUUAUUAUUUUAUCAAUAUUACAUUGUCUUUAAUCCAUGUAUUACUAUUUUUGACAAUAUGUUUUACGCUAUUUACCAGAAUAAACAUACAUCUGUAAACAAUGAACUUGAAAAGUAAAAACUUGUUACUAAGUUUAGUUUUAUGUUUGUUUUAUUAUGUUUGUUUUAUUUACAUUGUAAUUAAAUGACUUAAGUUAUGGAUAAUGUUAUAAGUAGGAUAAUAACUCAUAUACUGUAUUUAUUUAUCUACCUGUUAAGUAAUGUGGCAAUGUGCCCCGCCCCUGUGUGCAUUUGUGUGUUAUAUGUUGUAUGUUACGUGUGUUAAUGUUGGUGUGUAGAUAUGGCUGCACGGGAUAUAAAUGGGUGUGUGCAGCACGAGUUAUUUAAAAUGUAUAAUUGUAUUUAGGCACAGGGAUUGCACUUCACGUGCAUUUAAAGUAUUUAAUAUGUGAGCAUGAGGUUGCACAUAAUUAAUUCACGUGCUGUGGUUCAAGUGAAUAAUUAAUUAGUAAUUGAAUCCCGGCACAACAGUAUAUAUAGAUGCACGUUUCACUCACUCGGGGUUGUGUGUUCAGGGCGAAAGAACGGGAGAGAGUGAGGAGAUAAAUUAUAAUCAAUUGCUAUGUCGUGCUGGAGGACCAGCACGGUACUUGUUUGUUUAGUGUUCGUCCCUGUGUGUUAGUGUCUGUUCGUUUUAUUUGUCUGUUUAUUUUGGCUAAAGUGCCGUGUCCUGUGUUUUGUUAAAACCUUUUUAUUUAUAAUAAACCGGCGCAAGCAAGCGCCUUCAU